rnacentral:rRNA from 1 species
GUUAGGAAUCUUCCACAAUGGGGGCAACCCUGAUGGAGCAACACCGCGUGCUGGAUGAAGGCCUUUGGGUCGUAAACAGCUUUUGUAUACGAAGAAUAUGACGGUAAUAUACGAAUAAGGGUCGGCUAACUACGUGCCAGCAGCCGCGGUCAUACGUAGGACCCAAGCGUUAUCCGGAGUGACUGGGCGUAAAGAGUUGCGUAGGCGGCUUAUUAAGCGAGUAGUGAAAUCUGGUGGCUCAACCAUCAACACAUUGCUCGAACUGAUAGGAUUGAGAAUGGUAGAGGUAGUUGGAAUUUCUUGUGUAGGAGUGAAAUCCGUAGAUAUAAGAAGGAACACCAAUGGCGUAGGCAGACUACUGGACCAUUUCUGACGCUGAGGCACGAAAGCGUGGGGAGCGAACCGGAUUAGAAACCCUAGUAGUCC